rnacentral:rRNA from 1 species
GACGGAGGAUGCAAGCGUUAUCCGGAAUGAUUGGGCGUAAAGCGUCCGCAGGUGGCAAUUCAAGUCUGCUGUUAAAGCGCAGGGCUUAACUCUGUAAAGGCAGUGGAAACUGAAUAGCUAGAGUGUGGUAGGGGCAGAGGGAAUUCCCGGUGUAGUGGUGAAAUGCGUAGAUAUCGGGAGGAACACCAGUGGCGAAGGCGACUACCUGGCCUGUUUCUUGACGCUGAGGCGCGAAAGCUAGGGGAGCAAACGGG